UUGGUUUCCCGAAUCCGAUGUCGCCUGCUUAUCAGUCUCUGUUACUUUCUCAGGGGCCGCUCGAACAGGGAGACAGGAAGGCUCAUAUUUUCCUCCUUAUCUAGUGGUCCAGGGAGACAGGGAGACAGGAAGGCUCUUAUUCUUCCUCCUUAUCUAGUGGUCUCUUGGCCGGCUAUCAGAAGUUACUGCACAUCCGUGCAAAGUCAGCAGUUUUUCUCCGAAGAAAUCCCUUUGUUCUUUUCUCGCCUAAACCCAGGCCUCAAUGUUAACCCUUCAAAACCCCUUAGUGGCACGAAUUGCUGGACCAUUUCUUACAAUUCCUCCCUUUUUUUUUUUUUUAACCCUUCAAAACCCCUUAGUGGCACGAAUUGCUGGACCAUUUCUUACAAGUUGAUUACUUUUCCACAGUAAAGUCUUAUUUUAGCUUUACCUACUUGGCUUUGCUUAGCCUAAAAUAUUUGAGACUUAAUUCCAAAGAGAAAAAUACUUCUGCAAAAGCUAAUGCCAAUCAAACUGAAUUACUCUUCAUAAAAAUUUUGCUAUCGAAAUUUUGCCAUCUGUAUCUUUGUCUCACCUUUCCUCCAAAUCAGUCUUUUGCCAUCUGCUUGAAUAUUCCAAAUAAUCCAGUACAAUAAGCUUCACAUGCAUUGGCUGUUUGCUAAUCUAAUAUAACCUCUAAUUAGUCAGUUCUGCUAUGAAGUCAGUUUCUCCUACGAAGACAGCCUGAGGGAGUUGGGGUUGUUCGGCCUAGAGAAGAGAAGGCCCCAGGGAGACCUUACAGAGGCCUCCCAGUGCCUAGAGGGGGGCUACAGGAAAGCUGGGGAGGGACUAAUUGUGGGGGAGCGUAGGGACAGGACACAGGGGGUAAUGGCUUUAAACUAAAAAAAGGUAGAUUUAGAUUAGAUAUAAGGAAGAAAUCCUUCACUGUGAGAGCAGUGAGGCACUGGCACAGGCUGCCCAGGGAAGCUGUGGAUGCCCCAUCCCUGGAGGUGUUCAAGGCCAGGCUGGAUGGGGCUUUGGGCAGCCUGACGUAGUGGGAGGUGACCCUGUAAGUACCUUUCUACAGUCAGUAGCUCAAAUGUACCUUUCACUUUUUUAGCAGAACACUUUUGGCUUUAGAUUUUUGACUUGUGCUUGUGUUUCACUCCUACAGCUGUUCUGAAAGCAAACAAGCUUCUCAGCUUUUAAGACAGCAUUCAGUUUCUAUCAUAAAACAGAUUUGGGCCAACUUUCUUUCACCUAAGUACUUAAAUUCUGUGGUAGGAAAAUGCAUUGGUGUCACUCGUGAACAUUAACUCCUGUUCCACUCAGACCAUUUUACGUUUCAGUUAUACACUGUCUGCUAACAAAAUCAAGCAGAGCUUGUAAAGGCAGACAAGGAAAAGCUCGCUUUCCUUUUCAACUGCUGCAAAUAUCAGCUCUCAGGUGCAGAUCUUAGAAAUGAUAAUUUUCUCACUAAAGGAACUUCAUGCUUGCAUGACAAGGACAAAACAACUGACUUCAGCAACAAGAAGUUGCUCUUAGGAAUGAGUUGCCUUUUCAAAGCAAACUCUACUCAUAAAAUAGUUUAUGGGAAAGCAAUACAGACAGUGCACAGUAUUUCACAGUGUAAUAGGUGAAGUGCCAUGUGCAAAUGGGGUAUUGUUGUCACUUUGGCGAUUGAAAAGUUUGGGGAGGAAAGGCCCUUUUUCAGAACAGAAAUAAAAGCAAUGGGCUUCAAAGCUGAAUUACA
rnacentral:lncRNA from 1 species